rnacentral:lncRNA from 1 species
UCGUAAAUCAAGGUAUGCAUCAAGUACGAGUACCCAUCCUUACUAGUAAUAUAGUAAGCCCCCUUUGAGAUUAGGUUAACGAAAUCCUCCUGCCUGGUUAGACGUAUAAGAAUAUGUUUACUCCGAAGUAAUCCAAUAUGACAACUACCGUUAACAUUGCAUUGCUGAGGAAUUAUUUUCCUCAAUUCUUCAAGAUCCGAC